ACACUGUCGGGGUGCGACAAUAUCGCGCGUAAGGCGAUGAUGAUGCAGGAAGCCGGUGUGAAUCCGGCGCGGUCCCGCCACUGUCAUCGGGGAGCGACCCUCAACAGCCACGGCCCACUGAGCUUGACGGCCGGAAGGCGAGGCGAGCGGAGAUCCGAGAGCCAGGAGACUCGCGUCAUCGCAUCCUGCUA
rnacentral:ncRNA from 1 species